GAGCAUUUAAUAAAGGAAUUACAAGAACAGGACAGACUUGGGAAACCAGGAGGGAUGGGUGCUCAAGGGGCAGCCCGGGCAGGAGAACCGCGUCUUCCCAAGGCCUGGAGAGGGAGGGCAGGAGCCAGUGCCGACCCAAGCCUUGUAGCUGUCGGUAAGAAGGCCUGGACAGGAGCCGCUCCCCACCCCUGACACACACAAAGGACACAGUGAGUCCCAAGCCCUUGGAGGGCAGUGGAAACGCCCCCUUAACAGGCAACGUUCUUCCGAGAAACAGAACCAGGGGGAUUUGUCCCGGCUUUCCUGACAUGAAAAAAACAAUAGGCGGUUCAUAUACACGUAUAUAUAUUUAGACAAUAGGCGGUUUACAUACACAUAUAUAUGUUUAGAGAACAGACGGUUUACAUACACGGAUAUACGUUUAGACAACAGGCAGUUUACAUACACGGAUAUAUGUUUAGAGAACAGGCGGUUUACAUACACGGAUAUAUGUUUAGACAACAACAGGCGGUUUACAUACACGGAUAUAUGUUUAGACAACAGGCGGUUUACAUACACGGAUAUAUGUUUAGACAACAGGCGGUUUACAUACACGGAUAUAUGUUUAGACAACAGGCGGUUUACAUACACGGAUAUAUGUUUAGACAACAGGCGGUUUACAUACACGGAUAUAUGUUUAGACAACAGGCGGUUUACAUACACGGAUAUAUGUUUAGACAACAGGCGGUUUACCUAGACGGAUAUAUGUUUAGAGAUUUAUUUUAAGGCAUUGGAUCCCGCAAUCAUGGGGGUUCAAAACCUGCAGGGCAGGCGGCAGGCAGGAGACACGCAGUAGGGCACGUCACCGUCUUGAGGCAGGUGUUCUCAGUGAAACCUCGGUUUUCACUCUUAAGGGCUUCCUUUGAAGGGAUGAGUCCCUCCCAGAAAAAUCGAGGCUAAUCUCCUUCAGAUCAUCUGAUUGUGGAUAUUGAGCUCCUCUGCAGGACACCUUCCCAGCUACACCUGGGCUCAUGUUUGAGCACUUAGGUACUGUGGCAGGUCUCAGGACAUCUCAGCUUCUGUAAUCACAUGAGCCAGUUCCCUGGAAUAAAUAAACCCGUCUCCUACUGCUUCUGUUUCUCCGGAGAACCCUGAUGAAUACAGCUAUGGAGGCUGGCGGGGAAGACCCCAGAGACAUCCUGGAGGCUCCCACAGAGAGAGGGGGGUGGUGCAGGGUUUUAUUUCCAGUAGGAAUUUUACUAGAGCAGCGGAAUUGAUGACUAAGGUCCACAGAUGAAAAUGACAGAGGUUCCAAGCAACCCCCAACACCACCCAGCACAAUCUCCACAUUCUAAGAAACUCAUUAGACCCAGACACACAGCCUGCAGGGCUGAGCAGGACUGACCCGCCAGUCACCCAGCCGCAGCCCCAGCCUCUGUGUGGGGAUAGGGAGGUCGGAGUCAUCAGAGCUGGUGGCUCAUCAGGGUACCAGCCCAGAGGGUGGAGGGGAGCGAGCAGGAGAGCACGCACACCUCUGUCCCCACCCCAAGUCUGGAGAGACAGCAGCCUCACCCCGGGGCAGGGGAGCAUGAGCAGGACAGAAGAUUCGAGCUUUCAGCUGGGCUGGGCUGCAUUUCCACAGUUAAAAGUGAGCAGACGGCCGGGUGCGGUGGCUCAACGCACUCUGGGAGACCAAGGCGGGUGGAUCACAAGGUCAGUAGUUCAAGACCAGCCUGGCCCACGUGGCGAAACCCUGUCUCUACCAAAAAUACAAAACAUUAGCCAGGUGUGGUGGUGGGUGCCUGUAGUCCCAGCUGCUUGGGAGGCUGAGGCAGGAGAAUUGCUUGAACCCAGGAGACGGAGGUUGCAGUGAGCCGAGAUCACACCACUGUACUCCAGCCUAGGCAACAAAGCAAGACUCUAUCUAAAAAAAAAAAAAAAAGAAAAAGAAAGUGAGCAGACUCAGGGGAGUCUGUCCCAGGGGCUGUAAGGGACAAGGAGGGGAGUAUGACGGGGCUGGCUGAAAGCUGCGAUUGGCCAAAAGAAAGUAGUCUGUACUCAUCCCAGGGCUGAGGCUGGGCCAGCAAUAGUAUGUAGACAGCACGGCCCAGGCAGGUGACGGUGUGUAGACAGCACGGCCCAGGCAGGUGACGGUGUGUAGACAGCACGGCCCAGGCAGGUGACGGUGUGUAGACAGCACGGCCCAGGCAGGUGAUGGUGUGUAGACAGCACGGCCCAGGCCGGUGUCGGUGUGUAGACAGCACGGCCCAGGCAGGUGACGGUGUGUAGACAGCACGGCCCAGGCCGGUGUAGACAGCACGGCCCAGGCCGGUGUCAGUGUGUAGACAGCCCAGCUGCGGAGCCCCAGGGAGGCCAGGAGCUGUUCACAACUCCAGGAAGCCACACUGGGCCUCAGUUGACGAAGAAGGCGACACCUUCGUGUGGGCCUUGCCUGCUAAUCGGUGUCCUCAACCCAAGG
rnacentral:lncRNA from 10 species